GCCAAUGUAGCUCAAUGGUAGAGCACCGGUUUUGUAAACCGGUGGUUGUGGGUUCAAAUCCCACCAUUGGCU
rnacentral:tRNA from 1 species